GCCGGGCGUGGUGGUGGGCGCCUGUAAUCCCAGCUACUUGGGAGGCUGAGGCAGGAGAAUCGCUUGAACCUGGGAGACGGAGGUUGCAGUGAGCCGAGAUCGGUCUCUGCACUCCAGCCUGGGUGACAGAGCAAGACUCUGUCUCAA
ensembl:misc_RNA Metazoa_SRP Metazoan signal recognition particle RNA